AUGCGUGCAUGCAGGCAUCCCCAGCCCCCACUGUGUCCUUUGCUGAGGGAAGGAGAAGAUGCCAGCCCAUCGUCACCUUUGGAAGGCCCAUGGCACUGCAGCUGCCCCAGUCCCUCUCCAUCGCUCAGAUUUUGGGAUCGGCUGGUGUCCAUCAGCUGUGUGCCGGCGCCAAGCACAGAUAAAAGUAUCUCUCCAUGCUGUUGGCACAGUUUCACGGAGCCGUGCAGAAAGCAGCGAGCAUAUGUGCAGCUCGUACUUUGCUCAGCGCUGCAGGCUCCUCUCCUGCUGCCUGGCAAUUAUUUCGCAGCUCUGCUCGCAGCCCCCUCAUCCGCCGGCUGCUUUUGUGGCAGAGGCACCUCGCUGGGGACCCGGCUUCCUUUUAUAGCCCUGAAUGCCUUUCAGAGGUCGCUCGGGGCCGUUCUCCCCACGCACCGGGCUCUUAGCAAAGGCGCAGCGGGAAAGGCCGAGGCUGUUCCCCACCGCAUUCUACAGGAGGAGAACACCCUGCUCGGAGCUGCCCGCAUCCCGGGAGCCGUGCCUGGCUGCGCUCCCAGCACCCCGGGGGGGUCAGGGCCGCAGCCCCGCACCUCGGAGGCCACGUGGGUGACGCGUGGCCGCAGGGAACGCGGUGAGAGCCUCGGCACCGCACUGAGCGUGCGGGACGGCGUGUGCGUGAGCGCUGGCAGCGCACGGCGAGGGGGGAGCCGGCAGAGAGCAGGGCGGAUGUGGGCGGCCCCGAACCUCGGCAGGGAACGCCGCGAGCACCAACCCUCCGUGGGAGGGCGGGCACCGAGGAUGCGGCACGCCGCAGCGCUGCGGGUCACCCAGGCGGAAGGCCGAGGGACGCUCCGUGCCCCGGCGGUGCCGCGCGGACACCUCGACGGCGGUCGGGCACGCGGGGCCGAACCUCGCAGCUGCGCUCCCGGGGAGGCCGCAGGGGACCGCGUCCGCGCCGCCAGGCUCCGCCGCCCCUCCCCGCAGCCGCCCCGCCCCGGCGCCUCCCGCCUCCGCGCCGCGAUUUGCCGCUGCCGGCUCCGCCCGCUCCCCGCGCGGCCGCGGCCGAGGGGCGCGUUCAAACGCGGCGAGGGAAGGAGCGGAGCCGCGCGUGGACCGCAGCGCCGCCGGCAUGGUGAGUGCGGCCCGGCCCCGCCGCCGGUGCCCGCCCCGGUGACCCCCCAGAGCCCCGGACGGUGC
rnacentral:lncRNA from 1 species